GCCGCAGCCGGGGCAGGUGUUGCCGCCGGGCGGGUCGCGUUGCGCCGCGCCGCGCUGCGCCGCCGCGCCGCCUCCCCGCCGCGGGGGGCCCGGCGGCCAUGUUGUCCCCUGGCGCGGCGGCGCUGCCGCGACCGGUGGGUGGCUGUAACGGCCGCGCUCCCCGGCGGCGUGACGAAGCAGAAAGAUUGCAUUCUUUGGAGGAUCUGUGGGCUCUUCAGAAGGACCCAUCAAUUAUGCCUCAUAGCAGCCCAUAAGGUGCUAAAGGGCUUUCUCAGUGAGUACCCUGUGUCCUUCUCC